AUGAAAGCCCUGGAGACUGAGAUAAUCUAGUCACAGAACCAAAACAGCACAGGCAGAGGCAAUUAGAAGCUUCCCUACAUUGCCCUGCUGACAAGCCAUCAACCCUGACCUGGAGGGACCCACUUAUGGUGAUUAGUGGCCUAUUCACUCCAUGCCUUCUUUUCGGAGUUUGACAUUA
ensembl:misc_RNA